rnacentral:rRNA from 1 species
CACUCCUGCGGGAGGCAGCAGUGGGGAAUAUCGCACAAUGGGCGCAAGCCUGAUGCAGCCAUGCCGCGUGUAUGAAGAAGGCCUUCGGGUUGUAAAGUACUUUCAGCGGGGAGGAAGGCGAUAAGGUUAAUAACCUUGUCGAUUGACGUUACCCGCAGAAGAAGCACCGGCUAACUCCGUGCCAGCAGCCGCGGUAAUACGGAGGGUGCAAGCGUUAAUCGGAAUUACUGGGCGUAAAGCGCACGCAGGCGGUCUGUCAAGUCGGAUGUGAAAUCCCCGGGCUCAACCUGGGAACUGCAUUCGAAACUGGCAGGCUAGAGUCUUGUAGAGGGGGGUAGAAUUCCAGGUGUAGCGGUGAAAUGCGUAGAGAUCUGGAGGAAUACCGGUGGCGAAGGCGGCCCCCUGGACAAAGACUGACGCUCAGGUGCGAAAGCGUGGGGAGCAAACAGGAUUAGAAACCCGAGUAGUCCCAU